UGGGGAAUAUUGCACAAUGGGCGCAAGCCUGAUGCAGCCAUGCCGCGUGUAUGAAGAAGGCCUUCGGGUUGUAAAGUACUUUCAGUUGGGAGGAAGGUGGUAAGGUUAAUAACCUUAUCAAUUGACGUUACCGACAGAAGAAGCACCGGCUAACUCCGUGCCAGCAGCCGCGGUAAUACGGAGGGUGCAAGCGUUAAUCGGAAUUACUGGGCGUAAAGCGCACGCAGGCGGUCUGUCAAGUCGGAUGUGAAAUCCCCGGGCUCAACCUGGGAACUGCAUUCGAAACUGGCAGGCUAGAGUCUUGUAGAGGGGGGUAGAAUUCCAGGUGUAGCGGUGAAAUGCGUAGAGAUCUGGAGGAAUACCGGUGGCGAAGGCGGCCCCCUGGACAAAGACUGACGCUCAGGUGCGAAAGAGUGGGGAGCAAACAGG
rnacentral:rRNA from 1 species